rnacentral:rRNA from 1 species
AGUGAACGCUGGCGGUAGGCCUAACACAUGCAAGUCGAACGGCAGCACAGGAGAGCUUGCUCUCUAGGUGGCGAGUGGCGGACGGGUGAGGAAUACAUCGGAAUCUGCCCAGUCGUGGGGGAUAACGUAGGGAAACUUACGCUAAUACCGCAUACGACCUUCGGGUGAAAGAGGGGGAUCGCAAGACCUCUCGCGAUUGGAUGAGCCGAUGUCGGAUUAGCUAGUUAGCGGGGUAAUGGCCCACCAAGGCGACGAUCCGUAGCUGGUCUGAGAGGAUGAUCAGCCACACUGGAACUGAGACACGGUCCAGACUCCUACGGGAGGCAGCAGUGGGGAAUAUUGGACAAUGGGCGCAAGCCUGAUCCAGCCAUACCGCGUGGGUGAAGAAGGCCUUCGGGUUGUAAAGCCCUUUUGUUGUGAAAGAAAUCUUUCAGGCUAAUACCCUGGGAGGAUGACGGUACCCAAAGAAUAAGCACCGGCUAACUUCGUG